CCUACGGGUGGCAGCAGUGAGGAAUAUUGGUCAAUGGGCGAGAGCCUGAACCAGCCAAGUCGCGUGAGGGAGUACUGCCCUAUGGGUUGUAAACCUCUUUUGUCGGGGAGCAAAAGCCGGACGUGUCCUGCUGUGAGAGUACCCGAAGAAAAAGCAUCGGCUAACUCCGUGCCAGCAGCCGCGGUAAUACAGGGGAGGCGAGCGUUAUACGGAUUUAUUGGUGUGAAAGGGUGCGCAGGCGGAUUUUUAAGUCAGCGGUCAAAUCGUGGGGCUCAACCCCAUCCAGCCGUUGAAACUGGGGAGCGAGAGUGUGCGAGAGGUAUGCGGAAUGCGUGGUGUAGCGGUGAAAUGCAUUG
rnacentral:rRNA from 1 species